rnacentral:rRNA from 1 species
AAUCAACGCUGGCGGCGUGCCUCAGACAUGCAAGUCGAACGAUUAAGACUUCCUUCGGGAAGUGUAUAAAGUGGCGCACGGGUGAGUAACACGUAAGUAAUCUACCUUCGAGUGGGGAAUAACAUCGGGAAACCGAUGCUAAUACCGCAUAAUGCAGCGGCAUCGCAAGAUGACAGUUGUUAAAGGAGCAAUUCGCUUGAAGAGGAGCUUGCGGCAGAUUAGCUAGUUGGUAAGGUAAUGGCUUACCAAGGCUACGAUCUGUAUCCGGUCUAAGAGGACGGUCGGACACACCGACACUGAAUAACGGGUCAGGCUCCUACGGGAGGCAGCAGUCGGGAAUUUUGGGCAAUGGGCGAAAGCCUGACCCAGCAACGCCGCGUGAGGGAUGAAGUAUUUCGGUAUGUAAACCUCGAAAGAAUGGGAAGAAUAGAUGACGGUACCAUUUAUAAGCUCCGGCUAACUACGUGCCAGCCGCCGCUGUAAUAC